rnacentral:rRNA from 1 species
GUGGGGAAUAUUGGACAAUGGGCGCAAGCCUGAUCCAGCCAUGCCGCGUGAGUGAUGAAGGCCUUAGGGUUGUAAAGCUCUUUUGUCCGGGAAGAUAAUGACUGUACCGGAAGAAUAAGCCCCGGCUAACUUCGUGCCAGCAGCCGCGGUAAUACGAAGGGGGCUAGCGUUGUUCGGAAUCACUGGGCGUAAAGCGCACGUAGGCGGACCAUUAAGUCAGGGGUGAAAGCCUGGAGCUCAACUCCAGAACUGCCUUUGAUACUGAUGGUCUCGAGUAUGGAAGAGGUUGGUGGAACUGCGAGUGUAGAGGUGAAAUUCGUAGAUAUUCGCAAGAACACCGGUGGCGAAGGCGGCCAACUGGUCCAUUACUGACGCUGAGGUGCGAAAGCGUGGGGAGCAAACAGGAUUAGAAACCCGGGUAGUCC